CGCUUCAUGUUAAAUUAUGAAGUAUUGCCUGCCCUAUGAUUUAAUUAAAUGGCCGCGGUAUAUUGACCGUGCAAAGGUAGCAUAAUCAUUAGUCUUUUAAUUGGAGGCUGGAAUGAAAGGGCGGACGAAAUAAAUACUGUCUUAUUUUAAAAUAGUUGAAUUUAAUUAUUUAGUAAAAAAGCUUAAAUGAUUUUAUGGGACGAUAAGACCCUAUAGAGUUUUAUAAUUAUAUGGAUUUUUUUUAGUUAGGAAUAAAUCUAAAUCUUAAAAAUUAUUUUGUUGGGGCGAUAGAAAGAUAAAAGUAACUCUUUUUUUUUAUGUACACAAAUUUGUGGGAGAUUGACCCAUAGGGUUGAUUAAAAGACUAAAUUACC
rnacentral:rRNA from 1 species